rnacentral:rRNA from 1 species
UACGAAGGGGGCUAGCGUUGUUCGGAAUUACUGGGCGUAAAGCGCACGUAGGCGGAUAUUUAAGUCAGGGGUGAAAUCCCGGGGCUCAACCCCGGAACUGCCUUUGAUACUGGGUAUCUUGAGUGUGGUAGAGGUGAGUGGAAUUGCGAGUGUAGAGGUGAAAUUCGUAGAUAUUCGCAGGAACACCAGUGGCGAAGGCGGCUCACUGGACCACAACUGACGCUGAGGUGCGAAAGCGUGGGGAGCAAACAGGG